rnacentral:rRNA from 1 species
GGCGUCAUAGAGGGUGAGAAUCCCGUCUGUGACCGGUGACCGAUCCCAUGCGAAACCCCUUCGACGAGUCGAGUUGUUUGGGAAUGCAGCUCAAAAUGGGUGGUAAAUUUCAUCUAAAGCUAAAUACUGGCUGGAGACCGAUAGCGCACAAGUAGAGUGAUCGAAAGAUGAAAAGCACUUUGGAAAGAGAGUCAAAAAGUACGUGAAAUUGUUGAAAGGGAAGCGCUUGCAACCAGACCUGUCCGUGGGUGAUCAGCCGCCGUUCUCGGUGGUGCACUCGCCUACGAUCAGGCCAGCAUCGGUUCGGGCGGUCGGACAAAGGCCUUGGGAAUGUAGCUCCUCUCGGGGAGUCUUAUAGCCCUCGGUGCAAUGCGGCCAGCCCGGACCGAGGACCGCGCUUCGGCUAGGAUGCUGGCGUAAUGGUUGUAAGCGACCCGUCUUGAAACACGGACCAAGGAGUCUAACAUCUAUGCGAGUGUUUGGGUGUCAAACCCAUACGCGGAAUGAAAGUGAACGGAGGUGAGAACCCUUUAGGGCGCAUCAUCGACCGAUCCAGAUGUCUUCGGAUGGAUUUGAGUAUGAGCAUAGCUGUUGGGACCCGAAAGAUGGUGAACUAUGCCUGAAUAGGGUGAAGCCAGAGGAAACUCUGGUGGAGGCUCGCAGCGGU